rnacentral:lncRNA from 1 species
AACACUUGAAAGUUUGAAAAAGAAAACCUUUUGAAGAAACUUGGGACGAAAAUCCUACUUUCAGAGAAGCACUUAAAUUGGAAUAGUAAUAAAAAAAGUAAAAGAACUUUGAGGAAAAAUAUCUAGUAGCACUUAAACCUUCCAGAUCUACAAGGAUCUAGACAUACCCAAAUAGUUAUAAGACUAGGGUUUUCAAAAAUAGCAGAGAUGAAAGAAACUCUGUCCAAAACCAUAGAUUCAAACCAAAAAUAGGCAAGAAAUCGUACUCAUGAAUGAGAAUGGCCAAUGACAGGCCUGUGAGACAGAUUUUGACUAAAUCCGGUUGAAUCUCUUUGAGAUUCUCUCAUAAAUCAAUGAAGUCGAAUAACCAGAAGACGUAACAGCUCGGCAAGGGCAGGAAAUUACACAGAAACCCCGUGGACGAGGAGUUUUACAAGUGACAGUAGCUAGGUUUUAGGAGGUGUUUGAGAGAGAAUGGUGAGAUUAGGGAAAGUGAUGACACUAGAAGAGAGGGGUAAAUGGG